rnacentral:rRNA from 1 species
UACAGAGGUCUCAAGCGUUGUUCGGAUUCAUUGGGCGUAAAGGGUGCGUAGGCGGUGUGUCGCGUCGGCCGUGAAAACCUGCAGCUUAACUGUGGGCUUGCGGUCGAUACGGGCAUCACUGGAGUUCGGCAGGGGAGACUGGAAUUCCUGGUGUAGCGGUGAAAUGCGCAGAUAUCAGGAGGAACACCGGUGGCGAAGGCGGGACUCUGGGCCGAUACUGACGCUGAGGAGCGAAAGCGUGGGGAGCAAACAGG